CGACGACCAGAGGCCACGCCUCUGUCACUGAAGCCAACGGCCAGAGGCCACGCCUCCGUCACUGAAACCGACAGCCGGAGGCCACGCCUCCGUCACUGAAACCGACAGCCGGAGGCCACGCCUCCGUCUCGGAAGCCGACGGCCAGAGGCCACGCCUCCGUCACUGAAACCGACGGCCAGAGGCCACGCCUCCGUCACUGAAGCCGACGGCCAGAGGCCACGCCUCCGUCACUGAAGCCGACGGCCAGAGGCCACGCCUCCUUCACUGAAACCGACGCCUAAAGGCCACAUCUGAGAUGUUUUACACAAUGCCCAUCAACAUGGGAAAGUGUUUAAGGAGGGAAAAACCCAGCUAGAAGAAGAUACCCUAUGCCCAGGCAAGCUGGGUGUUAUAUACACUUCCAAUUUGUUCUUCCCCGCAGAUAAUAGCAGUGUUUAAUUUAGACAAAAGCAGUAUCAGGUAUCGCAGGGGAUGGUGGGGAAAACCCGGCAUCAG
ensembl:lncRNA